rnacentral:lncRNA from 1 species
CCCCUGCUGGCCCCUGCUCCCUCUGGCCACAGGCAGCCAACAGCUCCUUCCCCCAAAGCUUUAUCCAUCUCUGUCCCAAUGGAAAUUGAGACAAUUAAUCCACAACCCCUUCUGUCACAGGUUAAGAAGCACCAAAUUUUCAAAGACCGAUCUUGACUCUUGCAAGUACCUAAUGAUACCCAUUUAAAUGCUAAAUUCACAAAAAAUGGCAAUUGCUCUCAGGCAGAUUUCCUCAGUCAGAGAUGUCCAGUCUGGAGGACGUGAGCUGCUCCCACCAGCUGACAUGGGAAGGGCUGGAUGUCCCCUCCGUACACCCAGGCUGUUGGAGAAGAUCCUGGGGGCUCUCAGGGCUGUGCCUCUUCUUGGACUGUCUUGGACAGAAGGGAUGAGAGUUGCCACAUGUACCUUUCUCUGCUGGAAAUUGGUCUUCCAAGUGGUGAAAUCUGCAGAAAUUCCUGUUUAUCCCCAGAGCAUCCUCUCUGACCUGGGAGAUGGGAGAGAAGUGCCUGGAGGAGGAGGGAGAUUGUGUCCCUUGGAGACAGGAGGCUCAGGAAAGGACAGCAAAUCCUGAAACUCGUGCAGCAGCCCCUUCUCCAGCUCCUUUCUCUUCUCUGGACACGCUCCAGCCCCUCAAUGUCCUUCCUGCUGGGGUCCCAAACAACCCAGGAUGUGAAGAGUGGUCUCACAGUGUGUCUGUCACUGCCCUGGUCCUGUGUCACCUUCCUGGGCACUGAUCCAGCUCUGACCCUGGUCCUGAGCUGUCCUGGUGUGUCCUGUGUCCCUUCCAGCUCCCUGCUGCCCUGGGCCCCUCUGCACCUUUCCUUGUGCGUGCUUAUUUUAACUAUGCUGUGGUCAAAGCACUAAAAAACAUUGAAUAAAAAGAGUUAUUUGGUUUCUCCA